AUGGCAUGCUUGCCUCGGGGCAAGGGUGUUGGGGAUCGUAGCAGAAAUUCAAAAUUUUCCUACGUGUCAUCAAGAUCUAUUUAUGGAGAAACCAGCAACGAGGGGAAGGAGAGUGCAUCUACAUACCCUUGUAGAUCGCUAAGCGAAAGCGUUCAAGAGAACGGGGUUGAAGGAGUCGUACUCGUCGUGAUCCAAAUCACCGGAGAUCCUAGUGCCGAACGGACGGCACCUCCGUGUUCAACACACGUACAGCCAGGUGACGUCUCCCAUGCCUUGAUCCAGCAAGAUGAGAGGAAGAGGUUGAGGAAGACUCCAUCCAGCAGCAGCACAACGGCGUGGUGGUGA
rnacentral:rRNA from 1 species